AUACGUAGGGUGCAAGCGUUAAUCGGAAUUACUGGGCGUAAAGGGUGCUCAGGCGGUUUUAUUAGAACGAGGCGAAAUCCCCCGGCUCCACCUGGGCCCGGUCUUUGCUGCUGCAAGGCUAGAGGACGGCAGAGGGGGACGGAAUUCCGCGGGGUGCAGUGUAAUGCGUAGAUAUGCGGAGGAACACCGAUGGAGAAGGCAAUCCCCUGGGCCUGUACUGACGCUCAUGCACGAAAGCGUGGGGAGCAAACAGGAUUAGAUACCCUGGUAGUCCACGCCCUAAACGAUGUCAACUGGUUGUUGGGUCUUCAUUGACUCAGUAACGAAGCUAACGCGUGAAGUUGACCGCCUGGGGAGUACGGCCGCAAGGUUGAAACUCAAAUGAAUUGACGGGG
rnacentral:rRNA from 1 species